AUUUGAAUGACAUGACUUAAGAAUUCCAUUGAAACACUCUUAAGCUUCAUAUAACGACUCUCCCUCUUUUUGUGAAAAGCUAGUUAUUUUUCGUCUCAAUU
rnacentral:snoRNA from 2 species